UGUAGUGAGAAAAAGAACACCAAACACCUCCUGCCCUUUUUCCUCUUUUGAUCGACCACACACAAACACAUACACACAAAAACACUCUAGUUUCUUUUUCUUAUUUGGAUUUGGCAGGAGGGAUCUAAAGCAAAACAUCUUUAAUUUUUGAAAUAAUAAAAACCAUUUGGCGAGGAUUUCAAGAAAAUCAUCGUCAUCUUUAUCCUCAUUUCUUCUAGACAUCAUUUUUCCAAGAACAUCAAGAUUGUAACCAACAGUAAGUCUUGGAUCAUCUUGGCAUUAUAGGGCCAUUCUUUUCACUUUGGACAUAUAAUUAGCGUCAGACAUUGGAGGACUAUUAUGUUCUUAUAUCUAAUUGUACUAGACGGUCCAAAUAUUUAUCUUGUAUUAAGUGGGCCCAAUUCCAUAUAUGGAUGACUUGUAUCCGUAUUCUGGGGUCCACAUUUGAACGAUUGUAUUUGUAUUAGACUUGUAUUUGGUAUUAAAUGGAUGUAAUUUCUAUUA